CUCGUCUUGCUGGAUGCGAGGUCCCGCCACGUGGCUUCGGAUCCCCACGGUGCUAGCCCGGCGCACGGGUCCCUACCGGGGGCCGAUCUUUCGGUGUGGGCUCGGUCAGGCGCAGUCCAGGUUCGUCUUCUCCAGGGUGGAGGCGUAGAGUCAGGUCGGCCCCAGGUCCUUGGCACACUCGGGGCUCCCGGCUGCCCAGCAGUCUGGCGACGGAAACAUCGCCUAUUUAGGAAGUGAAUGAGAUCAGGGACCAAGAGUAGAGCAGGAUAAUUCCGGAGUUCGCAAAGAACAGAGGUACAAGUGCCCUUCAAAUGCCAGUUUGCACAGUUUUUUUUUUAAACGCUUGAGGAUGCUUCCGAAAGCCGGUGUCUGCAAGUCGGGCGGGGCGCUCUGGACCCACGCUGGCUGGCUUUAUGCCGCCCAGUCUUCCUCUGAUACAAGCCGGGUCUGCCUGGGUUUUGAGAUCUGGGAGAAAGUCUGGGCCGCUGUGUUCACGCUUGUACAAGGCAUGAGACACCUAACUUUUGUGUCCCAUGGUAUGGAAAUAGAAACACUUUGUUUCCCCGGAGAGUUCCUAAGACCGGACUUAGGCCCGCCUGCCCGCUACCGCUUUAACGUUUGUGAAGAUCUAGGUUUAGACGUGAGGGAAGGAAGGAAGGCUACACUUGGUUUUCUGUUGGGAGGCGAUCUUUGUUGGAUGGGUUCUCACGGUGGCCCGGAGAAUCUUUCUGCCCCGGUACCCUAAGUGCUGGAAUUUAUGGAUACAGCGGUACGGGGAACAACUAUGCCCGGUGAAGCCCAUUUUAGAGGGGAAAUCUUGUGGGCUCUCACAAACAACUAUCCGGUGUUCCUUGUGCUGCAGCAAAGGGACCUGCCGUGGUAGUUUUGUUUCCUUUAGGGUUCCAUUGAGCCUUUCUGUUUCACACAAGCCUGAGAGCCUGGAGUGAGGGGCAGCAGGAGCGACGGUCUAAGGGCUAUGGACACAAGUUCUAGGACUGUGGUUUCUCACCUCCCUGUUAAGCUUCAGCUGCUUUCUGAUUUUGAAAUCGAUGAAAGUGCUUCAACUUUUGCCGAGAAAAAUACUAGAGCUAGUCAUUUUGUUUCUAAAUUUGAUAAAUUAUGUGAUUAUGUUGCGGAUUAAGCUGGAACAAUGGCACAGGGAGUAAAAUCGCCUCCCCACUGUCAGAAAUGUAACGAUCACAGAAUUAUACAGGAGUGCUGUUCCGGGGCAGGACUUCUAUCUCAAAGGCAGCUAGGAGCUCCAAGAAAGGUUGUGUGCACGCCUGUGUUUAAGGGGGGAAAACAAUACUGCCUGGUACUUGAAACAUUGUUGACCUUUUUUUUUUUUAAGCAGUUGCUGUGGUGCCACGCCCGGGAUAUUAAUGAACACAAGCUCCGAUGCUUGAGAUGAGCUGGUGCAACUUGGAGAAGGAAAGGUAUGCAAUUGUAGGUGGAAUUUGGGUUUUCAGUUUCUUUGUCCCCUUCAUAGUGGGAGCAUGAAUUUGAGACAGUCUCAUGCACUAUAGAAAGUUUAUUUUUAAUUUAUAAAAUUUUUCUUAUCUUGCCUACAUGGGCUUGCAGUGCCCAUGGAUACCAGAAGAGGGCAUCAGAUACUCCUGAAACUGGCGUUUCAGUUGUGAGCUACUAUGUGGGUGCUGGGAAUUGAGACUAGGUUCUCUAGAAGAGCAGCCAGCUAGGGCUUUUGACUGCUGGACAGUCUCUAGCCCUAGACUUUGGCAACUCAGAAUUGUGUCCUCAGGAGAGUGGGGUGUUUGGGAUCCAUUUGGUGUCUUGGCUCAGUGCCAGCCCUGUCAGUCUUAGUUGGCUGUAGUGGAGGUGACCGGACCAGCUUUGUGGUUCUCCACUGCCCGGGUAGAUGCCCUCUAGAGAAAAGAAGUUGGACGUGAGCUGUAAAGCGCUGGCUCUCCCAGACACGACUGCAGUAAGUUGCGGCCGCCGUGGCUCCUGUGGGUCUGUUGGUGUGUGGUGGGGUGGUCACAGUCAGUGCUUAUCUCAACAUUCCUCCACCCAACUGGCAGGCACUGUUAGGAGGCAACCCGGGCCUUACAACUGACUAGUUUCCGGCUCUGGCAUCAUGACCAGAAGCAAAUCCCAAUUUUACUGACUUCAGUACCGAGAAGUGCAAUGCUGUUACUAUAGAACAAGUCUGGCCCAGUGGAAGAGUAUAAAACAGCUUACUUAGUAGGCCCACAAACUAGCCAACUCCAGUGCAGGGAUCUGGCUCUCCCCCUCAGCCACGGUUCUCAUAAUAUAUGUUCUUUGUUUCUAGGUUUUUCUUCUAGGGAAAAGUCAUGGGCUUUUCCUGAUGGUGAGUACACCUGGCUCUUUCCUUCAGAUGCCAGCCUAACCUGCCUUGGCCCCUCAUCAACCCUGCUCAAUUAGAAAAACAUUGUCCCCCUUAUGCAAUGUAGCUCUCAUGGCUGCCUGAACUUAACCUGGGCAGAUAGUUGUUAGUAGACCCAAACUUUUUCAGAACCCCUAUUUCUCCCUAAAUGACCAACUGUUACUGGCCGGGGACCGCCAUAAACUCAGCCUGAUUGCAUCAGGUGGAGGCCUGACCGGGGCUUCUGUUUUUGCCCAUAAAAGAAAAAAGCAAAAACUUAUCCACCCAUAAGGAAGAAAUCUGCUCUAAACCUUCGAAGUCCCUGGAAAACCUAACCUCUCCCUAGCUGCUCUGCUCUGGUGGCAGCCCUACAGCUGGUUUCCAAUAAAGUUUUCCUGUCUGGAA